UACGUAGGGCGCAAGCGUUGUCCGGAAUUAUUGGGCGUAAAGAGCUCGUAGGCGGUUGUCGCGUCUGCUGUGAAAGUCCCGGAGCUCAACUCCGGGUCUGCAGUCGAUACGGGCAAACUGGAGUACUGCAGGGGAGACUGGAAUUCCUGGUGUAGCGGUGAAAUGCGCAGAUAUCAGGAGGAACACCGGUGGCGAAGGCGCCACUCUGGGCCGGAACUGACGCUGAGGAAGCGAAAGCUAGGGGAGCAAACGGG
rnacentral:rRNA from 1 species